GGUGGUAUCUCUUUACUGUAGGGAGGUUACAGGGGUUUCUAUUCUAAGAACACCGUUACUUUAACACCAAAGGUUACAAAUGACAUACAUAAACGUGGUGGGACAAUCUUGGGAACAUCUCGAGGUGGCCAUGAUACGAUGAAGAUAGUCGACAGUAUUCAGGACCGUGGAAUUAAUCAGGUUUAUAUAAUUGGAGGCGAUGGAACUCAGAAGGGAGCAGCUGUAAUCUAUGAGGAAAUUAGAAGGCGUAAUCUGACAGUUGCUGUUGCAGGCAUCC